GUUUGGGUGUCUGGGUGUCCAGGUUUCUUGGUGUCAGGUGUCUGGGUGUCCAAGUGUCCAGGUGUCAGGUGUCUGGGUGUCAGGUGUCUCGGUGUCCGGGUGUCCAGGUGUCCGGGUGUCAGGUGUCUGGGUGUCAGGUGUCCGGGUGUCUGGAUGUCUGGGUGUCAGGUGUCUGGGUGUCAGGUGUCUCAGUAUCUGGGUGUCAGGUGUCUGGGUGUCCGGGUAUCUGGGUAUCAGGUGUCUGGGUGAUCGGGUGUCCAGGUGUCCGGGUGUCAGGUAGUCUGGGUGUCCGGGUGUCAGGUGUCCAGGUGUCUGGGUGUCAGGUGUCUGUGUGUUAGGUGUCUGGGUGUUCGGUGUCUGGGUGGCGGAGUGGCAGGAUUUCUGGGCAGCAGGGCUGGCCCUUCCAGUGGGGCCUGGCCCAGGGAGAGCUGCGGGCUGCCGGUGGGCG
rnacentral:lncRNA from 1 species